rnacentral:lncRNA from 1 species
AUUCAAAGAAAAAUAAGAUUAUAAAUCAGUGUCUUCUUAGAAUAAUUUGAUUUCUUCCUUUUCACUGUGAAUCAUUUUUCAUAACUUUUACAGUCGUUUGAACUCUGGUUUAACUGCUACCUAAGAACUUAGAAGAAUUGGACAGGUUGCUUAAAUUUGUAAAUGUCAGUUUCAUCAUUUCUCAGUUGAGGAAAAUGGACCAUGGGAUUGUUAUGAGGAUAAAAUGAGAUGGUGUAUGUCAAACACACGUCAGUUUAAUCAACAAAUAUUCAUUACGCACUAUAUUAGCUGGCAUCCAGGAUGGUCCUCAACAAUCCCCACCUCCUGGUUGAUCUCUGUAACUAACUUCUAGCUUUUUCUCUCUUUGCUCACUCAUUUUGAGGAACCACAUGGAGCAGCCCAACAAAGAGUUCCACCUGGAAAAGAAUUGAAAACUACUGAUAACAACUACCAAGGAACCAAGGCUUCUUGCAAGUAGCCCUGGCUGUAGGACUUGGAAACCAAUCCUUCUGCCCCAAGCAAGCUUUCAAGUGACUACAGCACCAGCUGAUAGCUUGACGGAAGAACCUUGACCCAGGACCACUCAGCUAAGCUGCUCCCCAAUCUUAAUGCUCAGAAACAGUGUAAGACAAUAAAUGUUUAUUGCUUUAAGUUGCUAAGAUUUCAAAUAAUUUACUUCACAACAACAAAUAGCUAAUAAAUGUACAUUUUAAGCCUCCAGCACUGUGCUAAAUAAAGCAAAGAACAAGGCAUCUUACCAUCAUGAAGCUUAUACUCUAAAGUUAGGAGAGUGAUAAAUGCUCAAUUAAUGGUUUGUUGUUGUUUUGUCACUAAUAUUUUCUAGCAUAAUAUUAUUCAUUUUGUUUUAAAAUAAAAGUCCAAAGUGGUAGCUGGUAAGAGUGGGUAGAAUAUGAAUUUGAGGUUUGGUCAUGUGAAUUUUAAAGUGAGAUACUGUCACUUAUCCACUAAAAUUAGGAAGGAAGGAAGGAAGGAAGGAAAGAAGGGAGGGAGAGAGGAAGGAAUGGAAGAAGGACAAUCCCAAGUGUUACUGAAAAUAUGGAGUAUCUAGAAUUCAUGCAUCAUGGGGCAAAUGUUAAGUGGUAAAAGCACUAUGUAAAAUAAUUUGAAGUUUCAUAUGAGCAUAUACCUACCCUAAAUAUCUAGCCAUUCUAUUAAGUAUUUCCACAGACAAAAAUGAAAGCAUAUGUCCAAAUAACAGUUGUUUACAAAUGUUGAUAGCAGUUUUAUUUACAUUAGCCAAAAGCUAUGGAAAAAAAUCCAAAUAGUCCUCAAUAGAUAAGUAAAUAUUAUUUAAAAUGUAACAUAUUGAAACAAUGGAAUAAAACUCUAAUAAACUAUUAAGAUGUGAAACAAUGUGGAUGAAUCUCAAGAACACCAUGAGGAACAAAAGAAGCCAGACACAAAAAAAGUACAUACUGUAUUAUUAUGGCAUUUAUAUAAAAUUCUAGAAAAUGAAAACUAAUAUAAAAUGCCAACCUAGAUCAAUGGAUACAUCAGCUGGCUUUGGGGAAGAAAUGUAAGGGCACAAUCUUUGGCAAGUGUCAUGAGGGAACUUUUUGAAUAUUAAAUAUCUUGAUAGGGUAGUAGUUACAUGGGUAUAUACACUUAUUAAAUUUAUAAAAUUUCAUAUUUAGAGUGGGAACCUUUUAUUAUAUAAAAUUAAAAAUUGAUAAAAUUAGUUUUUUAAAAAUUAGCAAAUACUAUUCAGGUAAAUACUAUACAGGUAAAUAUAUCCAAUAGGCAGUUGUAAAUUACAUCUAAGGCUAAGGGUCAUGUUGUGGUAGCUGGUUAGCAAAUAUUUGUUGAGUGUCUGUUACCUGCCAGGCACUGGGUUACUUUGCUGGGAUGACAAGAAGAAACAAGACAGCUUCUAGUCUAACUAGAAGAAAGGUAGUUAUUAAAGGGAAUUACAACAGUCAUAUGAUAGUGGGAUAUAACUUUUUCUCUAAUCUAGAAGAUCUUUAAAGCAGCUAACCUCUUUGUCCUAUAAUGCAUCAUUCAAGUGACCCUCUGAGUUAUUUAUAUAUAGACCAAAUAGCAAAUUAGAUUUUAUGCAAAAACCAGACAUUGGGAAGAGAGCUCAAUUUGCAUAAGGAUAUCAGAGCUCUCUUGGAAGGGAAGCACUCAGACCUCAAUCCAUGCUUCCCCAAAUUUGAAUUUAACGAUAUUUUCUAGAGAUUGUAUAUCCCUGCUGUAAGGAAAGGCUACAUUCAAACCAUUCAAAAAAACCUGAGGGCCUACAAAAUUCUAUGACUGUUAGUUUAGAAUUCAAUAAUCUUUAUAAUCAGAACCAAAGUCACUAUGCUACAAUCUCUCAAAUUUCCUAUUACCAUUUAAAUUGAAGUUAUAUUCUCCUUCCAUUUUUUUUAUUAAACUGCUUAGCUCAUUUAUGUUUAAUGUAAUUAUAAAAUGAUUAAAUUUAAAUCUGCUACUUUAUUGUUUCCUGUUUCUACAAACUGAUUUACAUUCCUCUGUUCCUG